AGUACUGAGGUAGCGCUCGUCCUCCCGCCGGUCCACCACCACCGAGUGUAGCCCGGGCCCGGCCUAUUUCAUCAGACACAACCCCAGAGCCGGGAGCCACCCCUACCCCGGGAGCCCUUCGCCAAGCACGCAGCUCCAGACCAGAAGCAGUCGCUCCGACCCAGAGCUCCGGGUGGGGCAGAAGAAUCUUUUCUUGCUGCUCUCCUAGGAUCUACCAACCAGAGAUUCUAAUGUGAUACGUUUGGAAUGGAGUUAUCGAUCUGCAUUUUUAAUAGGCAUUCCUCCAGUGCUGCCUGGAUGGCCUGCCAAAACUGCAACACAGCUGCCACCAGCAUUGCUGCCCAUAAAGGAGCAGAGUGCAGCAGUGGGUACGGCAGGAUACAGCAAGAGCUGAAGACCCUUGUGAUCUCUGGCAACAAAGGAAUUUCUGCCUUACCUGCAUCAGACAACCUUUUGAAAUCAGUAGGACCAUCCCUGAAGCAGCUGGCACAGAAGACCUGAGAUGUAAGGUUUCCCUGGAGUUCCCCAGUGGCUACCCAUACAACAUGCCCUUGGUUAAGUUCCUCACGCCCUGCUACUAUCUCAACGUGGACGCCCAGUGUUAACACCUGUCUGGACAUCCUGAAGGACGAGUGGUCUGCCCUGUAUGAUGUCAAGAACACCCUGCACUCCAUCCACAGCCUGCUAGUAGAACUCAACAUCAAUAGCCUUUUGAACACACAUGCUGCUGAGCUCUAGAAAAACUCCACAGCUUUUAAGAAAUAUCUGCAAGAAAUCUACUCAAAGCACGUCUCCAGGAAGGAGCCCUAACUCGGGCUGCCCAACCUCUCCUUGUGUUGUCUCUUCAUUUUUCCCUUAGAUGGUCUGUCUUUGCUUGAUUUCUGUAUAGGACUCUGUAUCUUGAGCUGUGGUGUUAUUUUUGUUUUGUUUCUGUUUUUUAUUUUUUAUUUUAUUUUUGAGACAGGGUCUUGCUCUAACAGGCUGGAGUGCAAUGGCAUGAUCACGGCUCACUGUAGCCUCGAUCUCCUAGGCUCAAUCAAUCCUGCCACCUCAGCCUCCUGAGCAGCUGGAACCACAGGUGUAAGCCACAGUGCCAGGCUAAUUUUUAAUUUUUUUUUGUAGAUAUGGGGUCUCCCUGUAUUAUCCAGGCUGUCCUGGAACUCCAGGGAUCAAGAGAUUCUCUUACCUUGUCCUCCCAAAGUGCUGGGAUUACAGGCAUGAGCCAUGACAUUUUGCCCAUUUCUGUUUUUAAAAUUAAGUCUCUGAUUGAGCUCUUGUGAUGUAUAUUAAAUAAAUACAUUUUGUUUAUUUUUGUAAAAAGAAAUUGUAAAUUAAAAUUUAU
rnacentral:lncRNA from 10 species